ensembl:snoRNA small nucleolar RNA SNORA65
CCCGCCACUCUGCCCGUCUGUUAGUGACUGUGUAUAGUCCAGUGGAGGCUAAGAGAGACUCAGCUCUAGGAAGCAGGCUACCCAGAAAAGUGGGCAAUCCUGUGCCGAAAGGCCUGGUACAAUA